rnacentral:lncRNA from 1 species
UGCGUGGAGUUGUCUGACGGGUUGAGGCAGUUCUGAAGACAUCAGUUCAGUGGUCCUAGUUUAGCGAGGGAGUGAUCCAGUCUGAGUUCUUCUGGAAACGUUCUUCUCUAGAAAUUCAGCAGGACCUGGAAACCAGUGAAGAUGAACCAUUUUCAAAACCAGAGAAACAAUCUCAAUGUGAAGUUUCAAAUGGUGUGGCAGGAAGGGAGCAAGACACGAGGGCAGGUGAGGAAAUGGGAGACCCAGAGGAGUUCCAUAACCUGCUCCAAGUCAUGAAAGUCAGCGAGCAGCACAGCUGGGGCUGACACUUGAGUCUGUCUCCAAAGACCUUGACCUCUCUACUUUGCCGCAAAAAUGAAAGAAGGUGCAGCUGGACCAGGCCAUCGCAGGUAGAAGUCACUUCACCCCAAUUCACACAACCAUUUGAGCUCAGGCUGGGACGAGACCAUGACCUUCUGCUGAGCAUCUGUCACUGUGAACCAG